CUAAUAAACUAAGACUCUUCUUAAUUAAUUCUUGAAUUAAAUAUUUUUAAUUUUGAUGAGUCCAUAGCUCAAGAUUAAUGUCUAGUAAUAUAUCAUGACUAUCCAAAAGAUUUAAGUUUUGAUAAAAAUAUUAAAAUUAUCCUUCUAUGAUGAGUUACCGUGUAAUUUAAUCUUUCGAUCACACAACAUCCCAGACAGGCC
rnacentral:lncRNA from 1 species